GGGUGGUACUAAGUCAGCACUGCGAUACCCAUGGUCCGGAGGAAUGCUGCAAGAAUGUCAACAAUCUUCUUCUCUGUACCAGUUCCAGGAGAAAACAGCCCAUAACAGGGUGGAAAGAGCCUAAAUGGAUGGAGACAUGCUUGACAUUGAGUUUCUAUCCCACUGAGGACAGAAUCCUGUUGCCUGCAGAAGACAACUGAGGCCAUUCCUGUGGGGAUGCUGAGACAUCAACCGAAUAACAGCAGGAUGUCCACUGCCCCUGCCAAGAAAAAGCCAGCUCUGCCAGAAAGCACAUCCUUGACCUCUAAGGAAGAGCAUUCUGAGGCCUCAAAAGAAGCAUUGGCAACGCAACCUUCAGCGCCCCCACAAGCUCAGA